rnacentral:rRNA from 1 species
GUCGCACGAGAAAGUCCCAGCUUGCUGGGGCGAGUACAGUGGCGCACGGGUGAGUAACGCGUGGGUAAUCUACCUCCGAAUUGGGAAUAACACUGCGAAAGCGGUGCAAUACCGAAUGACAUCCCCGGGACUCCGGUCUUGGUGAUCAAAGGUGGCCUCUACAUGUAAGCUACCGUUUGGAGAUGAGCCCGCGUACCAUUAGCUUGUUGGUAGGGUAACGGCCUACCAAGGCUGCGAUGGUUAGCUGGUCUGAGAGGAUGAUCAGCCACACUGGAACUGACACACGGUCCAGACUCCUACGGGAGGCAGCAGUGAGGAAUUUUGCGCAAUGGGGGAAACCCUGACGCAGCAACGCCGCGUGAGUGAUGAAGGCCUUCGGGUCGUAAAGCUCUGUCAAGUGGGAAGAAACUGCUUC